rnacentral:lncRNA from 1 species
AAAAUCUUUGACACCUGGAGACUCAGGGAAGUUGAACAGAUAAGGAUUUAUUUUGCAGAACAAAGUUGGUCAAACCAAAGAUGUGUCAGGAGAUGAAAUUCUUUAAGGAAACAGUUAACUUAUUUAUAAUUAUAUUAAAUCUAGUGGAUGUUACAGGUUUCUAAACAAGGUAGUAAAUGCACAGCUUAUUUUCACUUCAGUUGCUUAUUUUCACUUAUUACUCUUCAGUUAGAUGUUAUAGGUUUCUCGACAACAUGGUAAAUGCUCUGCUUAUUGUGAGUUAUUUCACUUCAGUCCCUUAACUUUUUAUCAUGGUGUUACAGUACAUUGGUUCUUAAACAAGGUGGUAUUUUCUGUCAGUUUCCCAGUCUUCUAUAAAUCACUCUCCUGAGGUACUUCUAAAAGUGUAACAGAUCCAGGGGUCACCACACCCUUCCUAACUGGUUUUGGAUUCUUCUUUUUCAGGAUGAUCACUCCUCCUGACUGAAGUGCGACCCAAGUAGAGUGUUUCUUCACAGCUCUUCUUCUUGCUCAAACUCAGCCUCCCAGUUUUCUCUUGUCUGAAUACUCUCACAAGACACCAAACACUGUUUUUUCAGUCUAAGCUCAGAGACUCCUUUCUCUAGCUGUAGAUAUUUUCCUCAGAGUGGAUGUUACACACACAGGUCAGGAGCUUUACUCCUCUCCUACUUAAUGUCAGAACCAACUUUCUCCUCAGCUCUCAGAACACUCCAAUUCUUCGACUGCUUUUCUUUUUCCCUCCCAAAGCCUCCCAGAGUGAGGCUACCUGCUCUUCCAGUAUUACCUAGACAGUGGGAAACCGCUUUAACUUCUGUAAUAAUGGUGUCCAUAGAUUUUAAAUUACAACUUAUGCAACAGAAUUAUACAACAGAAAAAUAUUAUUUAGAAUUUAUUGGACUCCAUUAGACUUUUAUAUAAAAAAGGACUGUCUAAUGUAGCUCUAUGUUGGAGAUGUAAUAAGGAUAAUGCCUCUUUGAAAUGUAUGUUAUUGCAGUGGCCUAGACUCACUAGGUUUGGGGAGAAAGUGCUGGACUGUAUAAUAUGACUGUGCAGAAAAAGUUAAUAUUCUCAAUGGAAAAUUUUCUUUUGAAUUAUAUCUAUUGUAUGCAAGCUGACAGCUGGACAACAAAGAUGGAUUCUAUGUGCCUUAACUGUGGCCAAGAGACUGGUACUAAUGAAUGUAAAGAAGAACACUAUGGUCCCCUUUAAUCAAUGGAUUGAUGACAUGACAACACUUGCGAUGGCUUAUAGAUGCAGACUUUGUUUGCAUAAAUAUAUUGACUUUUGGAAUGAGUAUACAGAAUAAAGUAGGUUAUUAAUAUAUGUACUAGGACAAUAAUAAUACUCAUAUAGCUGUAUGAUAAUGUAUGGUACUGUAACUGCUUAUAUUUAGUGUAUUAUAUUAUAUAUUUUGCCUUUUUUCACUGCCAAUACUGUAUAGAUACACGAGCUAGGUUCAUCUUGCCUAUACUACAUAAAUUUCCAGGUCGUACAGAACAACUUUAUACCUCCCUGCUACUUCAAGAUGAAAACCCAGAUGUGACAUACUCAGUUGCUAGAUUUUGUGCUGCCUGAUGGAUAUUCAUCGAAGGAUGGUUUGCUCCACAAACUAGGUCCAAAAUGCAAGACUUGUGUUCUUUCACUCUUCCUCCCUUAUAGUUGCUUUUAAUUGUUGGCCUUGUUUUUAUCUUUUAUGUGUGAUAUAAUCACCUUUUAACUACUAGUUUUUAUCCCUUACCUGUUUUAAGUCUUAUGCGU